UAUCCAUAUAAGUUAGCAGCUUGAAGGGAGAUUCCAGUUAUCACAAGAGCCUGCAGAAGUUGGCCCAAUAAAAGUUGAGACUUCAAUUCUAGUUCCAUGGCAGAUCUGAAAACUAAGAGAUGUGACUUCAUAAGGUAUGCUUUUGUCCAGAAGUGUUCCUGGAACAUGAUGCCUAUCGUAGAGCAUUUAUACUUGGCCUGCAGAGAGAGUCACUCUCCAAAACUACACAAGGAGCACCAGAAGAGGCUGCAAACCUUAUUGCUUCAAGAAGCUCUGACUGCAAAACCUCCUGGAUCAUACUCAUCCAACGGGUCCUGCAUCUAAGGUGAAAAGGCCAGAGUCAGCUUCUGACACCUUGGAGAGUGAGAAGAUGAAAAAUACUAUACAUAAGGUUCUGAUCUCUGCCCCAGGAUAUGAAUCUAAGACCUCAGUGCAGCCAGUGCCCAGAUCACCUGAUCUAAACAUUAAGUGCUCAGACAGUCGAUGCUGAACUCUGAAAAAUCUUGAUAUUGGUCUACUUUGGUUCUGAGAAAUACAGAGCAAGACAAGGAAACUCCUGUUAGCAAGGCCAAAUCCUAUUCAGGAGACUCCUCCAAUCUGUCAGCUCUGGAUCAAAACAUCAGUUCCUAAAUCAAAGACUAAGAUUUCAGAUCACGUCAAAUCUGAAGAUUAUUUUAGAACUGGCAGUUGUUUCUACAUUGUCCAUCCGCACUGCACCAACCUUUACUGUGGAAGCCCAAAUGCACCGCACGGAUCCACAAUUAGAUACAGUGCUGGCUCCACAAGGGACAAAAAUGGUUUCUGCUUCUAAGGUUAGAAUAAGAGGAAGGCUCCUGCUAGUUAUCCUCAGAUCUGUCCACCAGAGAAGAGAAGUUUGGAUGAAUUAUUGCAGAUAUCCCCAGACACUUCUCUUCCUCCCUCCUCCCCCCCUGCCACAUCAAAACAGCUAAACACUACCACUGGCACCACUUCAGUCUAUUCUUGAAUAAUUGCUUCAAUUAAAGAUUUCAGAUCUUUCUAUAUCCUCGAAAGUUCACUUAGCAGCUAAAGCUACCCAUCAGGCCCAGAAAGAUAAUUAUGAAGAGACUUGCCUAUAUGUAUCCACCAAUAAAAAAAAAAAAUCCAGUACCAGCAUGGCAUCUCAGUUUACUCUUUAUGCAGAUAAUGAAGCCCCCCUUUCAACCUACAGCACCCUGUUCUGUUCCUUCUAUAUAUUAAAAUGGCUUUCACAAUAGCCAUAACAUCAGCUAAGCAAAUGAAUGAACUGCACGCUCUUUCUGGCUGAUCAUCCCUUCACACUCUCUCAUAAGAAUAAAAUGAUGCUCUGUUCUAAUCCUAGAUUUGUUCACAAGGUGGUAUCCAACUUUCACAUUUGUCAAACUGAGGAAAGCAUCCAUUCUAUCUCUUGUUGGCAAUAGGUCACAUACUACAGUACUUCCAUAACAUGCCUUAGCCAUGUUCCAAUUGCAUUUCUAAAAGGCUGCUAGUUGGAGCUCUAUACAUAACAUUUUACAAAACACUGCUACCUGGCUUUGGCUUCAGUUAGCACUCAAAGUCCUAUCUUCCCACUUAUAAGAUAGUUUGGCAAGCAGCACUCCAUAAAUGGAAUAGUAACCUUCAUUUCUUUGAGUAUUCUCUUACUUACCUGUCCUUCGAGAUGGACACUCCCCACCCACUUUCUCCUCUUCCUUGGAAUCUUAAUAGAAUCUUGAGUCUAAAGAAGUGGUGAAAGGAACUGAAGUAGCAAAAGAUAUCAUAUGCCUUUUUAUAAUCUUCUGUCAGAAUAUUCAGGAAUGCAAGAGGAAGAGGUAGGAGGGAUACAUAAGCACUCUAAUGGAUACUGCUAUGAAAAGAUUCUACCGUCUGCGCUGCACACAGGAAUUUAAUAUACGGAGUCCAUCUCAAAGAACUCUGGUUAUAGAUAGGUAACCUUCAUUUCCAGCACAGUUCUUGAGUAUCAGUGCAGAAUUGCCAUCAGUAACAGGAGUGGGCAAAUAGAAUGCCAAGCUAUCACAUGAUGUUCUCUCUCCAGGAAACAGAAAUUGUAACUCUACAAGCAAUAAGAUUAUAUAAAUUUGUCAUAAAUCCAAGUCCUGUUGUUGUCACCAAGGUCAAAGUGUUGAAACUGUAGCCUGACAAAAGUUUAGUGCUAUGAAAAAACCCUCAAAUGUGUUCUCAAUUCCUUUAAUAUUGCUCUGUAAAUUUAUCCCAAGAGCUGUAAAAUCUGGAUAAAAAUAUCCUUUACACAACAUUAAAAUUCCAGAAUUAACUGCACUUAAUAGUGUAUCAGCACUACUUAUCAGCUGUUUAUCAUUAUACAUUGUAACAUGGAUAAUAUUUUACUACAG